rnacentral:rRNA from 1 species
GAGGAAUCUUCGCCAAUGGCCGCACUGCCCCAACCAGCCCAGUAGUGUGACGGAUGACUGCCCCUAGGGUUGUAAACUUCUUUUAUACGGGAAUAGUGUGCCCCAAGUGUGGGGUUUUGCAUGUACCGCAUGAAUUAGGAUCGGCUACCUCCGUGCCAGCAGCCGCGGUAAUACGGAGGAUCCGAGCGUUAUCCGGAUUUAUUGGGUUUAAAGGGUGCUCAGGCGGGGGGUUAAGUCGGCGGUGAAAUUUUGCAGCUCAACUGUAAAAGUGCCUUCGAAACUGGUUCCCUUGAGGGCGGAUGAGGGAGGCAGAAUUUGUGGUGUAGCGGUGAAAUGCAUAGAUAUCACGAGGAACACCGAUUGCGCAGGCAGCUUACCAAGCCGUAACUGACGCUCAAGCACGAAGGCGUGGGGAUCAAACA